rfam:Sporolactobacillus laevolacticus DSM 442 Contig004, whole genome shotgun sequence.
AGUAAGAGAACUUUCGCUAACUACGUGUACGUCCUGUACACAACGCGAAAGCCAUCGCAUCCUGCGAA